UUCAUCUUCCUCAUCUGUCAGAGUUCAACUUGAGGUCACCAACAAAACAGUACCAUGUCAUGGACUCAUCACAUAGAUCAAAUGGUAUGCAACAAUCAAUGGGAAUGGGAUCAGGACAUGGCGGACAAAAUUCUUCAGGCAUGAAAUAUCAGGAUCAACCUGGUGGGGACACAUUUUCGGAUUUUGUGUCCCUUGUCUGCCAGGAAGCUCAGAACUCACAAAAUCAGUCCAAUCCAUCCACGCCAACAGUGAAAAGUCCGACAAAACUGCCAC